GGCAUUAAUGGGGUAGUGGUAACCUGGGUCGUUGCCACUUUGCGGAAAUCGACCCGCCGGGAGUUCGAUUCUCUCUUAUAGCCC